UACAGAGGUCUCAAGCGUUGUUCGGAUUCAUUGGGCGUAAAGGGUGUGUAGGUGGCGCGCUAAGUCGGGUGUGAAAUUUCGGAGCUUAACUCCGAAACUGCAUUCGAUACUGGCGUGCUUGAGGACUGGAGAGGAGACUGGAAUUUACGGUGUAGCAGUGAAAUGCGUAGAUAUCGUAAGGAAGACCAGUGGCGAAGGCGGGUCUCUGGACGGCCCCUGACGCUGAGGCGCGAAGGCUAGGGGAGCAAACGGG
rnacentral:rRNA from 1 species